CUUCUCAGGUGCUGGUGGAGGGACGCCGGCAGGCAGGACACAAGGCUAUCGAGAAGGAAGAAGCGUUCACAGAACAGCUGUUAGCCCUGCACGUGCUCCCUCCAACCACCUGAGUGGCACUGAGGCCCUGUGCCAUCCUAGCCUAUGUGGAUAGGGUAGGUUUCUCAACCUAUU
rnacentral:lncRNA from 1 species